AACCAGACAGUCAGACUCUGCCGGGCUGUCAUCUGUUCUCUCGGAAAAUGAGACUCCCUACAGUGGGAGCGGAGCGACCGAACGGCUGGCUGCUGCUGGUUAGCUUUCUAAUUUCACCCACCCAACAUGUCUUAAUCAUAC